UACGAAGGGGGCUAGCGUUGCUCGGAAUCACUGGGCGUAAAGCGUGCGCAGGCGGUUCGUUGUGUCGGCGGUGAAAGCCCCGGGCUCAACCUGGGAAUGGCCGUUGAAACUGGCGAACUGGAGUGUGGCAGAGGGGGGUGGAAUUCCGCGUGUAGCAGUGAAAUGCGUAGAGAUGCGGAGGAACACCGAUGGCGAAGGCAGCCCCCCUGGGCUGACACUGACGCUCAUGCACGAAAGCGUGGGGAGCAAACAGG
rnacentral:rRNA from 1 species